CCGUGCUAGACGGGGAGGUAGCGGUGCCCUGUAACCCGCAAUCCGCUGUAGCGGGGUUGAACGCCUUCAUGAGGUAUUGCGAUGUAGGGGUUGGGUUUUAAAGCUGGUGUUGAGAGUCGGGUCCUCCGCAAUGGAUGCUCGUGAAUCUGGUCAGGUCCGGAAGGAAGCAGCCAUAAGCGUGAUGUUUCAUGUGCCGGAGGGUGGCCUAACUUGAGCUGGCGAUAAAAAUUCCACCUGGAUCGUACUAUCGAGGUUGGUGCACGG
rfam:Paenibacillus sp. TNCCL117 genome assembly, contig: FG16DRAFT_scaffold00006.6